GACGAACCGUACGAACGUUAUUCGGAAUCACUGGGCUUAAAGGGUGCGUAGGCGGCGCAGAAAGUUGGGUGUGAAAUCCCUCGGCUCAACCGAGGAACUGCGCCCAAAACUACUGUGCUCGAGGGAGACAGAGGUGAGCGGAACUUAGGGUGGAGCGGUGAAAUGCGUUGAUAUCCUAAGGAACACCGGUGGCGAAAGCGGCUCACUGGGUCUCUUCUGACGCUGAGGCACGAAAGCUAGGGUAGCGAACAGG
rnacentral:rRNA from 1 species